rnacentral:rRNA from 1 species
GACGUAGGGUGCGAGCGUUGUCCGGAUUUAUUGGGCGUAAAGAGCGUGUAGGCGGCUAGGUAGGUCCGUUGUGAAAACUCGAGGCUCAACCUCGAGAUGUCGGCGGAAACCAUCUGGCUAGAGUCCGGAAGAGGAAAGUGGAAUUCCUGGUGUAGCGGUGAAAUGCGCAGAUAUCAGGAAGAACACCCGUGGCGAAGGCGGCUUUCUGGGACGGUACUGACGCUGAGACGCGAAAGCGUGGGGAGCGAACAGG